rnacentral:rRNA from 1 species
CCCUUAGAUGUUCUGGGCGGCCCGCGCACUACAAUGGCGCUUUCAGCGAGUUCCUAUGUUGAAUUUUCCUGGGUAUUCUUGGAAGCGUCGUCUUGACUUGGGAUAGAUCCUUGUAAUUGUUGGUUUUGAACGAGGAAUUCCUUGUAAUCGCGGUUGAUCAGCUCGCGUUGAAUACGUCCCUGCCCUUUGUACACACCGCCCGUCGCUCCUACCGAUGAAUCGUCCGGUGAAGUUCACAGAGUGGCGGUUCGUGGAGUUGCUCGCGAAGUGAAAUGGACCUCACGAUUUAGAGGAAGGAGAAGUCGUAACA